AUGCUAACAAAAUUUAGGGGAGGAUUCAUUCACCAGAAAAGUCUCAACAAACUCACAGAAAAUCCCUCAAAAGCUCUCGCUCUGAAAUCUUCAUCACCUUGUUUCAUCAUCUUCAUCAACGAAGAUCAACCACCUCAUUCUUCUGCAAGAAAUUUCGUGAAUCUUCAACAAAACCCCAAUCUACUUCAAUCUGGAACCGAAAACUGCAUCAUCCACGCUCAUCAUCACAACAACGUUACUUUGAAUUGA